rnacentral:rRNA from 1 species
GUCAGGAGAACGGUCUGGAAAGUCCGGCAGUAAAGGGUGAUAGCCCCGUAUCUGAAGAUGCUGUUAUUGUGAACUCGAUGAGUAGGGCGGGACACGUGUUAUCCUGUCUGAAUAUGGGGGGACCAUCCUCCAAGGCUAAAUACUCCUGAUUGACCGAUAGUGAACCAGUACCGUGAGGGAAAGGCGAAAAGAACCCCGGCGAGGGG